rnacentral:rRNA from 1 species
UACGUAGGGGGCAAGCGUUGUCCGGAUUUACUGGGCGUAAAGAGCGUGUAGGCGGCUUCACAGGUCCGCUGUGAAAACUCGAGGCCCAACCUCGAGCUGUCGGUGGAAACCGUGUGGCUAGAGUCCGGAAGAGGAGAGUGGAAUUCCCGGUGUAGAGGUGAAAUUCGUAGAUAUUCGCAAGAACACCAGUGGCGAAGGCGGCUCACUGGCCCGGUACUGACGCUGAGGUGCGAAAGCGUGGGGAGCAAACAGG